rnacentral:rRNA from 1 species
GAUGAACGCUGGCGGCGUGCCUAAUACAUGCAAGUCGAGCGAACGGACGAGAAGCUUGCUCCUCUGAUGUUAGCGGCGGACGGGUGAGUAACACGUGGAUAACCUACCUAUAAGACUGGGAUAACUUCGGGAAACCGGAGCUAAUACCGGAUAAUAUUUUGAACCGCAUGGUUCAAAAGUGAAAGACGGUCUUGCUGUCACUUAUAGAUGGAUCCGCGCUGCAUUAGCUAGUUGGUAAGGUAACGGCUUACCAAGGCAACGAUGCAUAGCCGACCUGAGAGGGUGAUCGGCCACACCGGAACUGAGACACGGUCCAGACUCCUACGGGAGGCAGCAGUAGGGAAUCUUCCGCAAUGGGCGAAAGCCUGACGGAGCAACGCCGCGUGAGUGAUGAAGGUCUUCGGAUCGUAAAACUCUGUUAUUAGGGAAGAACAUAUGUGUAAGUAACUGUGCACAUCUUGACGGUACCUAAUCAGAAAGCCACGGCUAACUACGUG